rnacentral:rRNA from 1 species
GCUUUACACUAAAUAUAUUUAACUUGUUUGGUAGGAGUUUAGUUUUAUAUAAUAAGUGUUUCGUUGGGGUGACGGGAAGAUAAGAUAAACUCUUUCUAAAAAUUUACACAAAUGAGUGAUUGAUUGAUCCAUAAUUAAUGAUUAUAAGACCAAGU